AGGCAAGCCAGUCCCAUCCUUCCCAGCAACUGGGACUUUCCGGGCAGGGCUCCCCAGCGCGGGUUCAGCUAAUUAAGGAAGCAAUUAGCCUCCCCUGAGGCUAUUCAUGCUUCCUCACCCACAGUUCUCAGGUUCUGUGAGACCAGAGCCUCAGUCUCCCGUGAGCAGAGGGUGUGUGUGUGGCUGCCACUAUUCUGCAGACACGCUGGCUCCACCCCAGAGAGUUGCAGGGCCAGGAAAUCUGCAUUUAAACAGACCCUGGCUCUCACACUUCGGAAACUGCCCGAAGCACCUCUCAAAUAUGGGACAGGUGCUUAGGCCGAAAAUCAGGAAUCUCUUGAAUGAAUGCAUGAAGGUGGAGCCCUUUCCCUUAAUGCGCAGGUGAAAAGGGCACCUCGGUGGAUUCUACUAAAUUUAAUAGAAGACCCAAGACGGGGUGGGGGAGACGUGCUUUGUGCUCACCUGGCUGGUUCAUGGGCAGGUGGCCUGGAGGACCCAGCCCUGGCAGCUGUGGGGUAGCUCCAGCCUGGGCCGGACAGCUUCUUUCAUCGCAGGCACCACUGCGGACAUUGCUGGGAGGAAGAGGAGGGAGAAGCGACGGGCUUCAUUAGGAACGGAAAUGCCAAGAUUAGUGAAAGAAUGAAAAGAGUCAAAACAGCCUAGAAAAGGCUUCAAUGAUCCUCAAACUGGAUGAUCGAAUCCCGAAUAAUUGGGAAUCAACAGUAAAGGCCAAAGCUUUCGAUGGAUUGGACGAGGCGCGUCCACCCUGGGGAGGGCCAUCAUUUUAUUCAGUCUACUGAUGCAAAUGCUUAUCUCUUCUGGAAACACCUUCACAGACAGACCCAGAAUAUAGUUGAACCAAAUACUGGGCACCUCAUGGCUCCAACAGGUUGACACAAAAAAUGAACCAUUGCAGAAAACGAAGAACAGUCACCAACUCCCACCCAUGCAGCUGGCUCAUUUGCUGGGCUGCCCUCCCCAGCAGGUGGCACAGGAAUCCCUGCCUUGGCAGGGAGGAGGCCUGGGGUGUGUGCAGGUACCCAUGGGAAGUUUCUUUGCCAUGGGGAAAGCCAGAGUCACCCCUUGCUUGAACACAAGAGUUGGAGGUUUCAGUGAGCUGAGAUUACGCUAUUGCACUCCAGCCUGGGCGGCAGAGUGAGACUCUGUCUC
rnacentral:lncRNA from 1 species